CAACCGGGAUUGCCUUAGUAACGGCGAGUGAAGCGGCAAAAGCUCAAAUUUGAAAUCUGGUACCUUCGGUGCCCGAGUUGUAAUUUGGAGAGGGCAACUUUGGGGCCGUUCCUUGUCUAUGUUCCUUGGAACAGGACGUCAUAGAGGGUGAGAAUCCCGUGUGGCGAGGAGUGCGGUUCUUUGUAAAGUGCCCUCGAAGAGUCGAGUUGUUUGGGAAUGCAGCUCUAAGUGGGUGGUAAAUUCCAUCUAAAGCUAAAUAUUGGCGAGAGACCGAUAGCGAACAAGUACAGUGAUGGAAAGAUGAAAAGAACUUUGAAAAGAGAGUGAAAAAGUACGUGAAAUUGUUGAAAGGGAAGGGCAUUUGAUCAGACAUGGUGUUUUGUGCCCUCUGCUCCUUGUGGGUAGGGGAAUCUCGCAUUUCACUGGGCCAGCAUCAGUUUUGGUGGCAGGAUAAAUCCAUAGGAAUGUAGCUUGCCUCGGUAAGUAUUAUAGCCUGUUGGGAAUACUGCCAGCUGGGACU
rnacentral:rRNA from 1 species